rnacentral:rRNA from 1 species
UGGUGGGUAGUUUGACUGGGGCGGUCUCCUCCUAAAGAGUAACGGAGGAGCACGAAGGUUGGCUAAUCCUGGUCGGACAUCAGGAGGUUAGUGCAAUGGCAUAAGCCAGCUUGACUGCGAGCGUGACGGCGCGAGCAGGUGCGAAAGCAGGUCAUAGUGAUCCGGUGGUUCUGAAUGGAAGGGCCAUCGCUCAACGGAUAAAAGGUACUCCGGGGAUAACAGGCUGAUACCGCCCAAGAGUUCAUAUCGACGGCGGUGUUUGGCACCUCGAUGUCGGCUCAUCACAUCCUGGGGCUGAAGUAGGUCCCAAGGGUAUGGCUGUUCGCCAUUUAAAGUGGUACGCGAGCUGGGUUUAGAACGUCGUGAGACAGUUCGGUCCCUAUCUGCCGUGGGCGCUGGAGAACUGAGGGGGGCUGCUCCUAGUACGAGAGGACCGGAGUGGACGCAUCACUGGUGUUCGGGUUGUCAUGCCAAUGGCACUGCCCGGUAGCUAAAUGCGGAAGAGAUAAGUGCUGAAAGCAUCUAAGCACGAAACUUGCCCCGAGAUGAGUUCUCCCUGAGACUUUAAGUCUCCUGAAGGAACGUUGAAGACGACGACGUUGAUAGGCCGGGUGUGUAAGCGCAGCGAUGCGUUGAGCUAACCGGUACUAAUGAACCGUGAGGCUUAACCUUACAACGCCGAAGGUGUUU